GCUUGCUUCGUCAGGACAAGCACUAAAACCGGAAUGGCCCACAGAUGAUCAGCGUGGUCUCUGGGCAAGGAUGGCACGCAAAUUCACGAAGCGGGCUAUCUUUAA